rnacentral:rRNA from 1 species
GAUGAACGCUGGCGGCGUGCCUAAUACAUGCAAGUCGAACGAACAGACGAGUAGCUGGCUCCGGUGGCGUGAGCGGCGGGGGGGAGAAAAACAUGGGGAUAAGCUACGUAGAAGGGGGUAGUAACGUCGGAACAGCGGUACUAAUACCUAAGAAUAUAGGAAACAAGAGGGGGCAAUACUGAAAGACGGCUUUGCGGUUGCUUGUAGGUGGAUCAGCGCCUGAUUAGCUAGUUGGUAAGGUAACGGCCUACCAAGGCGACGAUGCGUAGCGGAGCUGAGAGGGUGAUCGGCCACACUGGAACUGAGACACGGUCCAGACUCCUACGGGAGGCAGCAGUAGGGAAUUUUGCGCAAUGGGCGAAAGCCUGAUCCAGCAACGCCGCGUGUGUGAUGAAGGUCUUCGGAUCGUAAAACUCUGUUAUCCGGGAAGAACACCUGUGUCCUUAAACAUUCACGUGUUGACGGUACCUGAUCAGAAAGCACCGGCUAACUACGUG